rnacentral:miRNA from 1 species
UUUGGAUUGAAGGGAAGCUCUA